AUAAUACCUAAAAAGGAAAAGACCAUGUUGUAGAACUACGUUCGCAUUACUCCAACCGGGAGUUUAGUACGACAACAAGAGUCAUAAGGACAAACAUAAGAAAUCAGUCAUUUAAACUGAACAAAUAAACGUAAAUACUACUGGAUACUCCACUGAUCAAAAACUUCUACCUGCUUCUAGAUACUCUGUAAUAAAAAUAAAAGUUAAUGAAUGGACUGCAACGAAUCCAGAAGAGAUAAUCCAAUAUAAGACACAAAAACACACAAAACAAGACAAGACACAGAAAAAGUGAAUAUCAUUUAUACAGUUAUUAUAAUUCCCAAAUAGGAAAGAUCAGUGUAACUUACCACAGUCAGUAUUUUUGAACUUUGAAAAAUAGCACUUUACUUCUUUAUCAUUGAAAGGCUAGGUUAAACGUUUAAAAAAACUGUUAAAAGUUAGUAAAAGCGGUCCCUGUCAUCCAAGGCACCUCAUCUGAACUGCGUCUCUACAUCCGCAUCAGUGCUACUGUGAAACUAGAUUUAUGGACAGUAACUCUGAUGUAAGAAUUAGCGCGAUUGUUUUAAAGUUCUGCAUCGACUCCGACAGGAGCUGAAGGCAUCCAUCCUCACACAGGCCAGCAGCAUCACAUCCAGGUAACUGAACGACUAUAUAAAGUAACGAGCACAAUCCACCUCAGACUUCUGAUGUUACCACGGUAACCACAACUAUUUUGUGAAAUCAUCAGAGCUCAGCCACAUAAAUAUCGGAUGUUAAUGCCGUUUCAUGGCCCACAUGCACACAGGAGAAAGAAAAGGUGGAAUUUUAUGUUUUAUGUUGAUGUAAAUUUAGGACCAAAAUGUAAGUGACUUUAAUAUGAGCAGGGAGGUGGUUAACAAAAUCUGAAAUAAUCACAAAUCUUUCAGUUUUCUUUUAAAUUCAAUGAAAAUUACUAUUUUGAUUCAACUACUUUCUUAGAGUAUGUUGCAGCUAAAAUAUUAAAUCACUGGGCUAGGAACCAGAAGCUUGGAUCAAUUCAUUGUGCAAGCUUAGUCGGAUGUAAAUUUAAAAAUGAAUCAGUUUUAACAAUCCAACCUUUACCACAGAAGACAUUAUCUAGCUAGCUAUCUAAUUUAAAUUAGUCUUCCUUUAAGUCAGUGCCUGCCUUUUAACACAAUGGGUGCUGAACAAAUAACUUCAGACUGGACUGAGUGGUGUUAUAUGACAUUUUAAAACAGUAAGUACACCGCUUCUUAAUAUAUUGACUAAAAGUUAAAAUUCUAAACCAGCCUUUUAACUCAAUGUUAAUAAUAGAAAAACAUUUUACACACACACACGUUUCUGUUAACUGAUUUUUAUACAUCAUUUCUUGCUGCUGAAGAACUGUAUUAUCAGAACUUCUGGACUGAUGACACUGACAGAUUAAAAGUUUUAUUAUAAACGGCUCUCAAAUAAUUAGAAUAAGUUUUGAAAACUAUUUUAGGGCUGCGUUCAAGCUGUUAAUAGAUAAUUGCCCCCCCAAAUCUGCACUGAGCAAAUUUUAAGUCUGGAGAUCAGUAUGUUUAAGAUUUCUGGCUCCAUAAAGAUAGAAAUUCAAUGGUUUAGCCCUGAGAUACCACGACUGAAUAUAGCCCAUGAACUCCACAGCAGAAUUUGUUCUUUAGUAUUUAAUAGGGUAACAUUUCUCAUUUUUCCAGAGGAAUAUCUUGAUAGUAAACCUGACAACUUGCAUUUUGUCACAUAUAUACAUGUAACUGGUUGUACAGACUUGUGCUAUCUACAUCAUUUUUCCUUUUUCCCCAAUUUCUGUGUUUACACACAAGUACUAAGGGACAGUUCUUCCCUUCUACUGCUUCUGAAGCUAUUUUUCUUAUGAUAACAUUUCUUUUAUACAAAUUCACAUAAGUACUUGAACAAAUGUAAGAAAAACUCAACAUGAGGCAAUUAAAUUUUUUAGGAACAAAAGAGCUCAUACCU